rnacentral:rRNA from 1 species
CAGCAGCCGCGGGAAUACGUAGGGCGCAAGCGUUAUCCGGAAUUAUUGGGCGUAAAGAGCUCGUAGGCGGUUUGUCGCGUCUGCCGUGAAAGUCCGGGGCUCAACCCCGGAUCUGCGGUGGGUACGGGCAGACUAGAGUGAUGUAGGGGAGACUGGAAUUCCUGGUGUAGCGGUGAAAUGCGCAGAUAUCAGGAGGAACACCGAUGGCGAAGGCAGGUCUCUGGGCAUUAACUGACGCUGAGGAGCGAAAGCAUGGGGAGCGAACAGGAUUAGAUACCCCGGUAGUCCCUGUCUCUUAUAC